UACGUAGGGGGCAAGCGUUGUCCGGAUUUAUUGGGCGUAAAGAGCGUGUAGGCGGCUUUACAGGUCCGUUGUGAAAACUCGAGGCUCAACCUCGAGACGCCGGUGGAAACCGUAAGGCUAGAGUCCGGAAGAGGAGAGUGGAAUUCCUGGUGUAGCGGUGAAAUGCGCAGAUAUCAGGAAGAACACCCGUGGCGAAAGCGGCUCUCUGGGAACGGUACUGACGCUGAGACGCGAAAGCGUGGGGAGCGAACAGGAUUAGAACCUACCGAG
rnacentral:rRNA from 1 species